AUAUUCUAAUGGGGUUGGCUGCCAGAGUGGGAAGGGUGUGACAGAGGCAGCCUGGAGCAAAGGAAGGUGGUACAUGAGCAAAGCUCAGAGGUGUCUGACUUGGGGCCCCAGAGAGUCCUUCCUACUGUUUUUGCAGGGCUACUUCCAUCUCUUUUCAGAAAUACUAAUGGUAUCAGAAGACUAUGAAGAUCAUACUCUGGAGAUGAUGACAGCAAUGGAGGAAAUAUGACAGCAUGCUCCAAGAAAGAGUAGGAUAACAUUUCUUCACAGAAGAAAGUAAGGAAGAUGCUUAGGUAUUGUCGUGUAAAGUCAGUGGUCCUAAAAUGUGACCGCAGUCCCAUACACAAGAACUUAUGGGAGUCACUGCUAAAAUAUUUAUAAACAAGUGUUAAAUGUUUAUAAACCAGCUUUUUGCAAGGGGUUGAAGAUAUGGGUCAAACAGCCCUAUGACGCUCUUGAAGUUUCAAAAUCUUUUGGGGUUGACUCAAUUUUUAAAAUGCAAACAAACAAAAAACAAGCGUGCAUUUCUCAGAAAGUACUAUGCUCGUGUGUUCAGCUACUGUUUCUUCAUUAAAUCUAUUGCUAGAAUUUACUUGAUCUAGUCAAAUGGAGUUAGUUCAGGACUUUUAUAUUGUGCUGACCUUUCUGAAACCUGCAUUUAAAACCUGAAGAACGUGUGGGCGUGCUACAGUUAUAAUUACUGCUUAUAACAUAUAUAUUCAUUCUGGUUUUAUAUGUGAAUGAAUCAUGCUAAUAUGUUUAAAGUAUAUUAUGCUUACUCUAACAGUAAUAAUGUGGGUGAAGCAUAAAGGUGCUUUCUUGGGAACUGUUUUUUCUUCCUGUUUGUUUAACCCUGCAGAAAAGUCAACUCCAUGAUGAGGUAUGGGGGUGUUCUCUGUAUUGGACAGGCAAUAUCUUUGUUGUGUUUACAUAGGGCCUGCAGCAAUGAUCUCCUGCAAUAAAAACAGAUGAUCACUG
rnacentral:lncRNA from 7 species